rnacentral:lncRNA from 1 species
UUUUUUUUCUCCUUCUAUUUGCUUCUCAAAUUUUCAUCUCCUUCUAUUUGCUUCUCAAAUUUUCUUCUCCUUCUAUUUUCUUCUCAAAUUUGUUCAAAAGGUAUUCUCAAUUUCAAUUCUCCAUUUCAUCUCACAAAUCUCAAAUUAGGGUUUUUCUCGUGACUUACUAGACUUUUCCCCUAUUCUCGCAAUUUAACCUCUGCGUCAAUGGGUUUCUGCAUCAUUUUCUGCGUAAAUUGGG